CCCUUAGAUGUUCUGGGCCGCACGCGCGCUACACUGACGAAUGUAACGAGCUUAUAACCUUGGCCGAAAGGUCUGGGUAAUCCCCAAAUUUCGUCGUGAUGGGGAUAGAUUAUUGCAAUUAUUAAUCUUCAACGAGGAAUGCCUAGUAAGCGCAAGUCAUCAGCUUGCGUUGAUUACGUCCCUGCCCUUUGUACACACCGCCCGUCGCUCCUACCGAUUGAAUGGUCCGGUGAAGCGCUCGGACCGCGGCCUCUUGACGGUUCGCUGUCGAUUGGCUGUGGGAAGUUCGUUAAACCUUAUCAUUUAGAGGAAGGAGAAGUCGUAACA
rnacentral:rRNA from 1 species